CCUGCGGGAGACUGCAGUGAGGACUAUUGGUCAAUGGGCGAGAGCCUGAACCAGCCAAGUCGCGUGAGGGAUGACGGUCCUAUGGAUUGUAAACCUCUUUUGUCGGGGAACAAAGGCGUCCACGUGUGGACUGAUGAGUGUACCCGAAGAAAAAGCAUAGGCUAACUCCGUGCCAGCAGCCGCGGUAAUACGGAGGAUGCGAGCGUUAUCCGGAUUUAUUGGGUUUAAAGGGUGCGUAGGCGGACAGUCAAGUCAGCGGUAAAAAUGCGGUGCUCAACGCCGUACAGCCGUUGAAACUGGCAGUCUGGAGUGGGCGAGAAGUAGGCGGAAUGCGUGGUGUAGCGGUGAAAUGCAUAGAUAUCACGCAGAACUCCGAUUGCGAAGGCAGCAUACCGGCGCCCUACUGACGCUGAGGCACGAAAGCGUGGGUAUCGAACAGGAUUAGAUACCCUUGUAGUC
rnacentral:rRNA from 1 species